GACGAACGCUGGCGGCGUGCCUAAUACAUGCAAGUUGAGCGCUGAAGGUUGGUACUUGUACCAACUGGAUGAGCAGCGAACGGGUGAGUAACGCGUGGGGAAUCUGCCUUUGAGCGGGGGACAACAUUUGGAAACGAAUGCUAAUACCGCAUAAAAACUUUAAACACAAGUUUUAAGUUUGAAAGAUGCAAUUGCAUCACUCAAAGAUGAUCCCGCGUUGUAUUAGCUAGUUGGUGAGGUAAAGGCUCACCAAGGCGAUGAUACAUAGCCGACCUGAGAGGGUGAUAAGCCACAUUGGGACUGAGACACGGCCCAAACUCCUACGGGAGGGAGCAGUAGGGAAUCUUCGGCAAUGGACGAAAGUCUGACCGAGCAACGCCGCGUGAGGGAAGAAGGUUUUCGGAUCGUAAAACUCUGUUGGUAGAGAAGAACGUUGGUGAGAGUGGAAAGCUCAUCAAGUGACGGUAACUACCCAGAAAGGGACGGCUAACUACGUG
rnacentral:rRNA from 1 species